UACCAGCACCCCGAGUGGUCGGGACGAUUAUUGGGCCUAAAGCAUCCGUAGCCGGUUCUACAAGUCUUCCGUUAAAUCCACCUGCCCAACAGAUGGGCUGCGGAGGAUACUAUAGAGCUAGGAGGCGGGAGAGGCAAGCGGUACUUAGUGGGUAGGGGUAAAAUCCGUUGAUCCAUUGAAGACCACCAGUGGCGAAGGCGGCUUGCCAGAAUGCGCUCGACGGUGAGGGAUGGAAAGCUGGGGGAGCAAACC
rnacentral:rRNA from 1 species